GUGAGGGUCGCCGCUCACUCACUCCUCGCUCCCUUUUUUUUUUUUUUUUUUUUUUUUUUUUGCAAAGGCGGGGUCUCUCUUUGCAAACCAAUGACACAACCCUACAUGGGCUGGUCUCGCCCCCAACGGAGACUCCUCACUACAAAUCGGCUCUCGGGGGAUUAGUGGCUGCGUGAAAGUGCACAUAGGCGCGGCGGCGGCGGGCGGGCGCGGCAGCCAGUCCCCAGCCCGCCCCCGGCACGGCCCCGCCCGGGAGGCUCUCGGGAGGCGCUGGGCCUCGGAGCAGAGACUGGGGUCUCGCCGCAGCGGUUCGGAGUUCGCCCUCCGCUCGCCCUCCUUCCUCCUCCGCCCCGUCCACGUGGGGCCCGGGGCGGCCGGCCACGUGGGGCAACGCGAGCCUGGGCGGGCCUCGGCGCGGCUUCCCAGGGUGGCCUCGGCCCUGGAGGGCCCCCGCCGGGCGAGCGGAGCCAGCCUUCCCCCUUCCUGGCUCCUCAGCUCCAACUUCCUCCUGGGCUACGGCGCGGGCCGCUCCCGCCUGCGCUGGCCCGCGGGGUCAGGCGCGGGGCGGCCGCAGGGGGCAUUGCGCACCCCAGUCAGACCCGAGAGGCCGUGCCCGGGAGGCGGCGGCGGCUGUGGGCGCGCGCGCGAGGGCCAUGUGUGCUGGAACUUGCGGCGGUGUAUUCCCUACGAGAGGCAAAACAUUUUUACACAUUAAAAAAAAAAGUUCCUUCCUGUUGUCUGGAUCUCGCUGGAGCUAUUUUUAAAGACUCGCUUGCCAUAGGUUGGAUGUCCGAGCCUGGCGGGACGGAGGCCCGCCGGGGCCUGGAGAGUCGGGCUCCCGGGCUUUCGCAGCGCCCUUCCACCACCCGAACCCACCUGGUCUUGACGUCCUGCGAUUGAAGUCUGGACGGCAAACGCGGAGCGGGGCCUAGCACCUGGACUGGAUUCCGUGCCGUGACCCGUGACAUCCGAGCGCGUCUCCGGAAGGGAGCCGGUGGCUGCGGACGGGAAGGCUGGGAUCCCUGUGCUUCAGGGAGCCCAAAUUCUCAUCUCACUUCCCUGAAUCCCAGCAGGCAUCCUCCAAGACCCUUUGGGAAUGAGCAGUGCCCAUAAGCUCGAUGUACUUAAAACCAUAUUGAGUUGUUAGGAACUGGAUUGAGAUGUAGAGAAAGAAAAGCUCGGGGAGGGGCCUGAGGUCGAGCUUUUGAAGGCCGAAGAAACGCCCAUUCCGUGAGCUGAGACUCUUGGUGUGGCCUCGGUUCUGGAGAGCCCCAGGCCCUAUCAGGCCCAGAAAUUUACAGCCUGGGGCGUGGUGGGGCAGGGAGAGGCCACCCAGCUGAACCCCUUUUGCGUCCUAAAAAGCGCAGCAGGAGGCCUCUCAGUAUUUAUCUCUGCCUGUUGGCUAAAGUGCACCCAGAUGUGGCCUGCCUGACGGGUAAUGCAGGGCCCGUGGCUUCUAUGAUUGUUUUAUACUCAAACAUUUUAAAAUUCGAUUGACGAUCUCCCUCCUAUGACGGCAUCGCGAGCCCCGGCCUUUCUCACCGCUGGCAGCUACCCCGGGAACAGACCAGCUAUGCGACUCAAAGGUCUACGGUUAUUCGUGAGAGAAUUCCCAGAUGUGUGUUUCCAGUUGUCUCCAUCUUUUUUGCGACCCUGAGUUCCCACAGACUUAUCUUCAGGGCCCUCCUUUCCCCAUCGGCUUUGCCUCAAGGUCAUGGUGCCUAAACACUUGGGUAUAAACAUCCCAUUCACCCCAAGACUACUAGGAUAUCUGUUCCGGCUUUUCGGAGUUUCUCGGGCAUAAACUAUAAUAACUAUACGUAUAUAUUUUUCUGGUUUUUUUAUUUCACAGAAGAUCUUUGGUUCCGAGUGGUUGUCUGUCCUUAUGGAGAAAGUAAAAAAGUUAUCCAUAUGAUUUGUUCAAUUUUCACGCCUUCUAGAGUUUGAAAUCUGCCUGUGAAAAUACAGCCUUUGUUUUGAGAACAUUGUAAAGAAGACAUCGUCAAAGCUGAAAAUUCUUCUUGCUUAAGCUUGACACCCUGCAUUUUAAAAUGUAGAGCUCAGUUGCCACCAACAUGUGAACAUUUCCAACCUCUACUUUCUUUUUUAAGAUGUUCAAAAUCCCAAAUAAAAAAUUAGGUGAUAUACAAAUGGCCAGUAAGCGCAUGAAAAGAUAUUUAGCAUCACUAGUAAUUAGGGAAAUGCAAAUCAAAACCAUAAUAAGGUACCGCUUUAUGUCCACUUGGAUGGCUAUUAUGGACAAAACAGGAAAAAACAAUUGUGGAUGAAGAUGUGGAGAAAUGCAAACUUGUGUGCUGCUGGUCGGAAAGUAAAAUGGUAUAGCCACUGUGGAAAGCAUUCUGGCAGUACCUCCAAAAGUUAAACAAAAUUGCCAUGUGAUCCAGCAAUUCCAUUGCUGAAUAUGUGCCCAAAAAAUGGAAAGUUGAGACUCAAAUGGAUAUAUCUGCCCCCAUGUUCAUAGCAACUUUAUUCACAACAGCCACAAGGUGGAAACAACCCAUGUAUCUAUCAAAAGCCAGAUGUGGUGGUGCACAUCUGUAAUCCCAGCACUCAAGAGGCUGAGGCAGGAUUGCUGUGAGUUCAAGGACUACCUGGGCUACUUGGUGAGUUCAAGGCCAGCCUGAACUAGACUACAUAGCAAGACCCUGUCUCAAAACAACAAAUAUCUAUCAAGGGAUAAAUUGAUAAACAGUAUAUUUACUAGUCCACACAGUGGAAUAGUAUUCAGCCUUAAAAAGGAAUGAAGCCCUGACACGUGACAGUGUAGAUGAUCCUUGAAAACAAGCUAAGUGAAAUAAGCCAGGCACAAAAAUACAAAUAAUGUAUAAUUCCAUUUAUAUGAAGUAACUUAAAUAGGCAAAACCAUAGAAAGUACAAUGGUGAUUACCCAGGACCAAAGGGAGGGGAAUAUACAGUUAUUCUUUGAUGGGUAGAGUUUCUGUUUGGGAUGAUGACAAAGCUCUGGAAAUGGUUGGUGGUGGGUGAUGGUUGCACAGUAUUGUGAAUUGUACACUAAAAAACGGGUAACAUGGCAAAUUUGUGUCAUGUAGAUUUUACCACAAUAUAAAAAAGUUGCAAAAGUCUUUUAGUAGUUUCAUAUUUAUUGUUAUUUCUAAAAAUAUUUUUCUCUUUCUUUUUUUUCCGUUUUGUUUUGUUUUUUGAGACAGGGUCUCCCUAUGUAGUUAAACGUGAAUGUGACUUCACUAUAUAGCCUAGGCUGGCCUCGAACUUGCUGCGAUCCUCCUGCCUCUGCCCCCACCCCCUACCCCCACCUAGUGCUAGGAUUACAGGCAUGUACCUACAGACAAAGAGAAAAUGUUUUAAAAUACAUAUUAGUCAAUUUACAGGAUUAAUACUACUUACAAAUUUUUCUGUGUGUCUUUUAUAUACUACAGUUCUAAGGGCUGGGGAUAUAGUUCAGUGGUAGAGUGGCUGCUUUCCAAGUGCAAGGUCCAGAGUUCAUUUUCCAGCACUACAAAUACAUAAAUGUGUAUACACACGUGUAUACAUUUUGUACCUAUAUAUAGGGUAUUGAAAUGCUUGUUUUUCUUUUUCUUUCUUUUUUUUUUUUUUUUGGGUACUGGGGAUCGAACUCGGUCCUUGUGCUUGUGCAGUAGGCCGCGAAACCACUGAGCUAAAUCCCCAACCCAAAAUGCUUGUUUUUCAGUACUCUCCAUGAUCUCUUCCCAUGUGAGCCUAUUUAAUUGGUCAGUCUAAAUUCCUAGUGUUUCAAAGUGGACUUUGACAGACACAAAACAGGAGAGUGGUAAAAAUAACAGUAUCAGUGACAAAUAGCAGCACCAAUGUUUGUCCUUGACUUGCCACAGUGCUCACAAUGUGCUCAGCACUUGAUAAACAUCUUCAAUCGUCAUAGCUGCCCCUUAAAAAAAUACUAAUAUUAUCUCCAUUUUACAUAAGGGAAACUGAAAAUCCAAGACUUAACAUGACUUCCCCAAGGCCACACUGCUGGUGUUUAGUGAUGAGCUGUCAUUCUAAUCUUUAAACAGGAGAAAGGAAAUCCUACGAAUUAAAUGUGUUGUCAGAAGCUGGUUUAAAAAAAGAAAAGAUGGAAGCCAGGCACAGUGGCACAAGACUUAAUCCCAGCUAUUUGGGAGGCUGAAACAGGAAGACUGACUUCAAGUCCACCAUGGGGAACGUGAUGAGACACCUUUCUCAAAAAUAGAAAGACAAGGACUGGCAUAGUGUGGUGGAUUAUAAGGCUCUUCAGGAUCAAUUUUGGAACAAUAACAAAAAGUCAUGAUAAUAAAGCAGAAAGUAAAUGAUGAAUGACCUGAAA
rnacentral:lncRNA from 1 species